rnacentral:tRNA from 1 species
CCAGAUAGCUCAGUUGGUAGAGCAACGGACUGAAAAUCCGUGUGUCGCAGGUUCGAUUCCCGCUCUGGCC